AGAGUUUGAUCCUGGCUCAGAACGAACGCUGGCGGCGUGCCUAACACAUGCAAGUCGAACGUGAAAGUCCUUCGGGAUGAGUAAAGUGGCGCACGGGUGAGUAACACGUAGGUGACCUGCCUUUUAGAGGGGAAUAACCAGAAGAAAUUUUGGCUAAUGCCGCAUACGAAGCACGGUUUUAAGACUGUGUUUGAAAGAAUGCCUCUGCAUAUGCAUUCACUAAAAGAUGGGCCUGCGGAACAUUAGCUAGUUGGUGGGGUAAAGGCCUACCAAGGCAACGAUGUUUAUCCGGUCUGAGAGGAUGAUCGGACACACUGGAACUGAGACACGGUCCAGACUCCUACGGGAGGCAGCAGUGGGGAAUAUUGCGCAAUGGGGGAAACCCUGACGCAGCAACGCCGCGUGAGUGAGGAAGGACUUCGGUCUGUAAAGCUCUGUUAAUGUGGAAAAAUGGUAGUUGGUCUAAUAGGCCGAUUAUUUGAUGGUACACAUAGAGAAAGCACCGGCUAACUUGUGCCAGCAGCCGCGGUAAUAC
rnacentral:rRNA from 1 species